rnacentral:rRNA from 1 species
UAGGGAAUCUUCCGCAAUGGGCGAAAGCCUGACGGAGCAACGCCGCGUGAGUGAUGAAGGUCUUCGGAUCGUAAAACUCUGUUAUUAGGGAAGAACAAAUGUGUAAGUAACUAUGCACGUCUUGACGGUACCUAAUCAGAAAGCCACGGCUAACUACGUGCCAGCAGCCGCGGUAAUACGUAGGUGGCAAGCGUUAUCCGGAAUUAUUGGGCGUAAAGCGCGCGUAGGCGGUUUUUUAAGUCUGAUGUGAAAGCCCACGGCUCAACCGUGGAGGGUCAUUGGAAACUGGAAAACUUGAGUGCAGAAGAGGAAAGUGGAAUUCCAUGUGUAGCGGUGAAAUGCGCAGAGAUAUGGAGGAACACCAGUGGCGAAGGCGACUUUCUGGUCUGUAACUGAAGCUGAUGUGCGAAAGCGUGGGGAUCAAACAGG